rnacentral:rRNA from 1 species
UACAUGGGGUGCAAACGUUGCUCGGAAUUAUUUGGGCGUAAAGCGCGCGUAGGCGGUUUACUCAAGUCGGAUGUGAAAGCCCUCGGCUUAACUGAGGAAGUGCACCCGAAACUUGAGUAGCUAGAGUACUAAAGAGGGUCGCGGAAUUCCCGGUGUAGAGGUGAAAUUCGUAGAUAUCGGGAGGAACACCGGUGGCGAAGGCGGCGACCUGGGUAGAUACUGACGCUGAGGCGCGAAAGCGUGGGGAGCAAACAGG